UAGUCAUGUGCCCCCAGCCGAGA
rnacentral:misc_RNA from 1 species